UACGUAGGGUGCAAGCGUUAAUCGGAAUUACUGGGCGUAAAGCGUGCGCAGGCGGUUUUGUAAGUCUGACGUGAAAUCCCCGGGCUCAACCUGGGAAUUGCGUUGGAGACUGCAAGGCUGGAGUCUGGCAGAGGGGGGUAGAAUUCCACGUGUAGCAGUGAAAUGCGUAGAGAUGUGGAGGAAUACCGAUGGCGAAGGCAGCCCCCCUGGGAUAACACUGACGCUCAUGCA
rnacentral:rRNA from 1 species